GCUGGAAUGGUUGGUUAUGACGAUCGCCUCACACGCGACAGGUCCCGAGUUCGACUCUCGGUUCCAGUA
rnacentral:tRNA from 1 species